UGGGGAAUAUUGGACAAUGGGCGCAAGCCUGAUCCAGCAAUGCCGCGUGGGUGAAGAAGGUCUUCGGAUUGUAAAGCCCUUUCGACGGGGACGAUGAUGACGGUACCCGUAGAAGAAGCCCCGGCUAACUUCGUGCCAGCAGCCGCGGUAAUACGAAGGGGGCUAGCGUUGCUCGGAAUGACUGGGCGUAAAGGGCGCGUAGGCGGCUUGCACAGUCAGGCGUGAAAUUCCUGGGCUCAACCUGGGGACUGCGCUUGAGACGUGUGGGCUUGAGUGAGGAAGAGGGUCGUGGAAUUCCCAGUGUAGAGGUGAAAUUCGUAGAUAUUGGGAAGAACACCGGUGGCGAAGGCGGCGACCUGGUCCUUGACUGAACGCUGAGGCGCGAAAGCGUGGGGAGCAAACAGGAUUAGAUACCCUGGUAGUCCACGCCGUAAACGAUGUGCGCUGGAUGUUGGGCGGCCUAGCCGUUCAGUGUCGUAGCUAACGCGAUAAGCGCACCGCCUGGGGAGUACGGCC
rnacentral:rRNA from 1 species